rnacentral:lncRNA from 1 species
GUGAAAGAUUAUUGUCACUUUCUACAGUCAACCUCGGUCACAUCCUCUGGAACGUCUAUGAAGUUGGUUUGAUGAUAUCCUUUUAUUUGUCAGAGGCAUAUGAAUAAUCUCAGCUAUCAAGAAGAUUCGCUUGUAUUUUCAUAUUUCCAGGCAAGAUGGAAUAUUUUGUGUAGUCAAGGGAAAGAAGUGGAAUGUGUCUCAUCAACAACUUUUGCAAGGUCCAAAUUCAGUCUUGAAAGAAGAAGUCAUGGGAAUCUUUACAAACUGAGAUUUAAAGGGUGACCACGAUAAAUGCAGCAGAUUGGGCUUAAAAAUAAAAGUGAAAGUGAAGUCGCUCAGUCGUGUGAGACUCUUUGCAACCCCAUGGACUGUAGCCUAUCAGGCUCCGUCCAUGGGAUUUUCCAGGCAAAAGUGCUGGAGUGGAUUGCCAUUUCCUUCUCCAGGGGAUCUUCCCGACCCAGGAAUUGAACCUGGGACUCCCUCAUUGCAGGCAGAUGCUUUACUGUCUGAGCCACCAAACUGUAAGUAGCUAAAAAUGGC